GCGCACAGCAACGAAGACCCAACAGAGACAAAAAUAAACAAAUAAAUUUAUUUUUAAAAUAAAUAAAUAAAAUAAAAAUCUCCAGCUAGUGAACACCAGAUGAUUUAUCUAUUCCUCCCCAUAAUGCCGUCUAUUGUGGAUUUAUUGGAAGGACCGUUAUAGUAUCAUAGUUUCUCAUCUUUUUUUUUUUUUUUAAAGCAACAAAUAAAGACUGCAAGAACAAAGGAUUCCGAAACCAAGAAGUUUGCAACAACUAACCACACCCCUCCCUCACCUCGCCUUUAAAAAUGCUUUGCUGAAACGCGUUAGGGAGUUUCGGUUUUGGGGGCAAGAGUCAGCCAUCUCCUUGCUUAGCCCUGCAGCAAACCUUUCUCUGCUCCAAACUGUGAUGUUUGUUUGGCCUCAGUGUGCAUCUGGCACAUGAACUUGUGUUGGGUAAAGAAUCAGUCUGAGAAACAUCUUUUAUUUAUUUUUUCUUUGAGAGGUGUGCCUUAGUUUCCUCCCAGCUUUAUUGAGAUAUAAUUGACACUUAACAUUGUGUCAGCUUAAGGUGUGCAGCGUGUUGAUGUGAUACCUUUAUAUGUAGCGAAAUGACUACCAGCUCAGCAUCAGCUAGUCGCGCCUCCAGCCUGGCGCGCAGUUACUACUUCUUUUUGUAGUGAGAACACUUAAGAUCUACUUUCUCAGCGACAUAUGUGACACAGUAUUAUUAGCUGUAAUCCCCCGCUGUACAUUAGAUCCCCGGAACUUACGCAUCUUACGACCUCUACCGCCUCUCACGGGCUGAGGGGCAUUUGGAAUCUCCAGGAGGGAGUGUAGCGUUCGGCGCUUUUGCAAACAUACUUGGCCCUGGAACUCUGGUUUUCUGGAGCAUCUCUUGGGGGGAUUAUUCCAUCAGGCACACUUUGAAGGAUGAGCUAAACCUGGAGGCAUCUCGGAAAAUAUUCUGUGGUUCCUUCCCGAGGAGCCGGUGUCUCCCAAGGGGCCAAUCAUGAAGCGAGCUCACACCCCCUCAGUCAGUGCUGACCCCGUGCGCUCUGUUAGCGCUUGGACCGUGGUUGAACAAGACACAAGGACAGGCCUGAAAACAUCGACACUUCCCAUUUUAAUGGUAAAAGUGUGUUUGGGGAGAUCAUGUGGCUUGUCCCUUGGGUUUUGCAUUAGAAGUCAACACUCCCCCAAGGGGGUGAGCUCAGAGCCCAAUCGCCAGGGUUCAGAUCCCAGCUCCACGAUUCCAACCUGAGUGACCUUGGGACAGUUACGCAACCUCUCUGAGCUUCCCUUUGCUUAUCUGCAAAAUGGAGAUGCAGAUUGUGCCACUUUCGCGGGUUGCUGUCGGGAUUCAGUGGAGAAGCCACAGAAAGCACUUCCCCUGGAGCCUGGCACUUAAUAAACACUCUGUGAAUAUGAGCUAUUCCAGAGGCUUUUUCUCUAUUACACUUUGCUGUGAUUCCGAAUGGAGCUGAGGCCGCAUGGCCUAGGGAUUUCACGUAUGAACUUCCAAGCCAGACCACCUGGUGACCUUCAGCAAGGCACUUAACCCCUGCGAGCCUCAGUUUCUUUGCAGCAGGUGGGAUAAAGAGCAACCCUAGCCCGCGGGGUUGUUGCAGUUCAGUGAGUUAGUAUUUGUAAGCGCUGAACCCAGUGCCGUCACAAGGCUUACACUCACUAAACCUCAGCAGGACUGCGCACUCCCCUCUCUUCUGAACGCUCCAGAAGCGGAUCAGGUGGUCUCUGAAGGCUCUGCUCUUCCGUGAAUGAUGUUCUCCUGGGGCAGCUCCCCGCAGCCAGGAGCGACGCCGGCCGCGACUCUGUACCUGGCUCCCAGCCCCACGCUGGCUGGGGUCAGGCACCAGGAGAGACUCGGCCCAGACGGUGCACUUUCCCCGAGGGUGCGGGGCCCCUGGCUGUGCCUGUCAGCCGAGGACUGGCAUCCGUCACACUCAUCAUCAGAUCCUGAGGUCCCAGAGGAGCGGAGAGCAUCCGCUGAGGGAGUGGCCAAUCCGCAACGAAAGCCCCCGAGGCUGGUCGUGCUGAGUCCCCUCGCGUGGAACUUGGAGCAGCGGGAGGAGACGGGCCUGACCUUUCCUCCUGAUGGCCUGCUGUCUGCGUGAGGUCUGAGAAGCCAGGACAGAGUGUGGCCCUCUGGGAUGUCAGCGGACUCUGGUGCUGGCUCUGCCUCCCUGUGGGUGCUGGGCAGGGGCUAAGUCCACAGUGACACCCCCAGCAAGGGUCCUGUCCGCUGCCAUCGUGUCCUCCAGCUCCUUUCUGAUGGGACUUGGGAUGAGUCCCGGGCACCGUAAGUGUGAAAGGGGCUUAACGACAGAGAACUUACCUCGGAGCCCGCCCAGCAGCCCUCGGCCCCCACAGGUCAUCGGCAGGCCGCAUCACACAUGCCAACGGCUUCCUGAGGACCUUCUCAACCCCACCCAGGACAGGCCAGACGGGGCAAGGAGUCAGUGCCCCCAGGCGCAUCCCAGGGUGCGUCCCCAGCUUCGGGGCCCUCAGUGGACCCUGCCCUGGCCCGCCCGCAUGCCCACAGCAGGAAAGCAUCGCCAAUGAAUGUUUAUUGCCUUUCUGGCUUCCCCGUCUCACUCCCAGCACACCACUGCCCAAGCCACAUGUCAGGCUGUGCUCUGGGAAGACCCAGACUCAGACGGUGCUGACGCCGUUGCCUCCAGGAGCGCGGGCUCUGUGUCCAGCUCCCAGUUGCAUGCAAGUUUCCUCCUGUCCUUAGCAGCCGGGCCCUGGCAGUGCGGUCACGUAUUCGAAUUUCUUCCUUUGCAACAUGAAUGUGAUAACGGCACUUCCCUCCUGGUAGCAGCCUCAGGACGGACCAAGUCCGAGUACAGAAGGACCAAGAGAACGUGUGUGUCCAGGGAACAAGCAGCACACGCAGGGCAGCUGCUGUUAUGUGUGCACUUAGCACAGUUUCUCAGCCAGUUGGAGCCUCAGUUUGCACAUCUGUGAAAUAGGAGAAUAAUCGAUGACAAAAGCCAAUACGACGCUUGCUGGGAACCUGCACUGAAGGGGGCUCGGUAAAUACCAGCUGCUGUUGUAAUUGUGAUUGUCGACGACUCCCUGUCAUGACUGACCCCCACACAGCAGUGCCUGAGAUGCUGGCUGAGUGACAGGAAAAGCUGACCAGCUGCUGCAGAGCACUGAACCUGUGGCACUCGGAUGGCACAGGUGGUGGGCCGCGUGCGACUCCCAACGCAGAUGAGAAUAGCCCCGCGGGGACCAGAUGCUGAGCAGUGCUUUACCACCAUGGUCUCGGUGUGAAAAUGGUCCUGUACAGAGAGGAGACCCAUGGCUAGGCCUGGCCAGUCAAAUUCCUGCAUGAAUUUUAUGUAUAUAUGCUGAGGAGAGAGCGGCUUCCACUUACCUCUUGGAUCUCCAGGACCCAGCGAAUAGCAGGAAAGAGAAAAAUAAAACAAGAUCACCGUGCAGCACAGUACAGAGGACACCAAGGAUGGCCCUUUCUACAAUGAGCCACUGUGCUGCUUGAGCUGAAAUGGCUCUUCUGAAGCCGAGAGAUAUGGACAGAAGUGUAGAAGAAUGAAACGAUAGAAAAUCCAGAAUUCAUCUCAAAGUCAAGGUUGAUACUGAGCUGAUAAGGGCUGAGGCGUGAGUUCUCAGCACUUGCUGGCUGCCCGACAAUUACGGAGGCUGUGGACUGUGUCGUCACCCACCCUCCAGCCUCCACCUCCGCCUCCAGAAGGACAAGAUGUCUCCAUAAGAGAGUCCUUCGAAGGCAGUUUCCUUUCUACAACCCAGCAUCAUGCCUCCCAGAACCUGUCUGGUGUCAAGGCACAGAAACACGACGAAAUGCCGGGGCUGCGGUUGUCUGCGUGUCUCCACUGACGUUUUGGGGUUGGCCUUCGUGGUCGUUUCGCUCGUGAACGUGCAGACGGCUGCAUCUCAUCACCUUAAGAUCCAGUACCGAACGAAUCGCUACAAUUCUAAGACGCCACCAAAGACGGGACCCUACAGAUGGCCCAGCGUGAUGGGUCAUGGGCUCAACCGUGGUUUUCCCAUCUGCAAAAUGGAGCCACUAACACCUGCUUCGAUGGGACAGUACCAGGAACACAGUAAGUGCUCAGUAAGUGGUCUUCCCACCAUGGGAGGCUCCAUUCCAAUCCCCAGUCCAGUUUCACGCCAAGAGCCAAGAAAACCGUAAAUCAAGCCGUAACCCGUGGGCGCCGGGGCUGUGUGCGUCCCCCGCGCUUUCCUAAGAUGAAAACAGGGCUUGCUUCGCUAUGUCAGGAUCACAGACCUCUUACGCUUUUAAAACCCAAAGAGGAGACUCAGGGCCUUUGAAGCCAACGUAAAUACAACUGUUUAACAGCUUAUUUUAACUAUCCAAUGGGAACCCAGUUGCUUAAAUGGAUUCACGUUGCCAGCAAUCUCUUUUUGCGACAUGGUAUUUGUUAGAAAUCAGGAUUUUACUUAACUAAAUGUCCUGCGGUCGCUCCGCUUUGUUUCUUAACAGGGCCGUCUUUAUGUGAGUUUUCUUUGGCUUCCCAAUAGAAGAGUAACAGAUUCCUUUUGAAGUUUUUUAUUGAUGAAUGAGCCGCUAUAAAUAACCCUCCGUGGCAGCCGCCCGAUCUCUGAAGUUUACUCUGGAAUAAUAGUAGCAGAGGGAAUGAAGGGCAGUUCACGGCAGUGUGUCAUGAAAUACUUUAAUGGGCUUCAUACUGUUUAACUUAAUCUUUACAGAUGUAAAAACAGAAAUACAAUUAUUUUAACAACUAUUAUUACAUAUUGCUUUGCUAAUGAAAACAAAGUCCUGGGAAGCACUCGGAGACACCGAAGGGAUCCUCAGGAAGCUGUGCUGGGUGCUGGCGGGGAUCCCCGCAAUCUGGGGACAGACGGGGAGUCAGUGAUGGAGAUUCCUGAUCCCCCCAAAGGCUCUUUGUGCCGUCCCACUUGGCCACACGCAGCCACGCACACGCAAACACACACACACGCACGUCCUGAUCGUGUGGUCGUACAGAGUGCAGCUUCUUGGAGCUGAUUUCAGGCUCGGCUCUACGGUAUGAAUUAUGGGGCCCGUGGAGAAUUUCUGUUGCUGGGAAAGACAACCGCUUGCUCUUAAUGGAGCUCGAAGGGCUCUUCCUGUUUCUCACAGUCCCCAGCUGCCACUCUACCUCCUUGAUCCUAGCCCUCCCCGCCCCCACCCACACAACUCCAGCUUCCAAGGAGCAUCCUCUCACCAGAGGGGACUGGGAUACGCCUCACUCGCCAACCCAUAAAUCCAGAGGUCACGCCUGCAGCUUGAACGUUCUCCCUGCUCCUCUGGGAAGUCGCGGAGAUUAAAUAUGGAACCCCUGGGUCUGGUGCACAGUGCUGUAAAGACCGCCCCCCUCUUUGAUUCUUCGGGGAGGUCUUUGCCUACAGAGGCGCGUUCAGAGUCGAGACAGGCAUUUUUCUCAUGAGCUGCAGCCUAAGCCCCCCUGCCCUCCAGACUGGGAGCCGGGCGCCCCCACGGGACCCUCCACUAUGUAACUCUGUGCCCUGGGGAAUUCACUUCCCCUCCCCGCUCCUCGGUGGGGUCCUCGCCAGGAAAA